AGAUUGAACGCUGGCGGCAUGCCUUACACAUGCAAGUCGAACGGCAGCACGGGAGCAAUCCUGGUGGCGAGUGGCGAACGGGUGAGUAAUAUAUCGGAACGUGCCCAGUAAUGGGGGAUAGCCCGGCGAAAGCCGGAUUAAUACCGCAUACGACCUACGGGUGAAAGCGGGGGAUCGCAAGACCUCGCGUUAUUGGAGCGGCCGAUAUCAGAUUAGCUUGUUGACCGGGUAAAAGCCCACCAAGGCAACGAUUUGUAGCUGGUCUGAGAGGACGACAGCCACACUGGGACUGAGACACGGCCCAGACUCCGUACGGGAGGCAGCAGGUGGGGAAUUUGGACAAGUGGGCGCAAGCCUGACUCCAGCCAUCGCCGCGUGUGGGAAGGAAGGCCGUUGGUACGUAAACCGUCUUUUAGACGUAGGGAAAGAACGG
rnacentral:rRNA from 1 species